rnacentral:rRNA from 1 species
UACGUAGGGUGCAAGCGUUAAUCGGAAUUACUGGGCGUAAAGCGUGUGCAGGCGGUGCUGUAAGACAGGCGUGAAAUCCCCGGGCUUAACCUGGGAAUGGCGCUUGUGACUGCAGUGCUGGAGUGCGGCAGAGGGGGAUGGAAUUCCGCGUGUAGCAGUGAAAUGCGUAGAUAUGCGGAGGAACACCGAUGGCGAAGGCAAUCCCCUGGGCCUGCACUGACGCUCAUGCACGAAAGCGUGGGGAGCAAACAGG